AGCGGCGGACGGGUGAGUAACACGUGGGCAACCUACCUGUAAGACUGGGAUAACUUCGGGAAACCGGAGCUAAUACCGGAUAAUUCUUUUCUACACAUGUAGAAAAGCUGAAAGACGGUUUCGGCUGUCACUUACAGAUGGGCCCGCGGCGCAUUAGCUAGUUGGUGAGGUAAUGGCUCACCAAGGCAACGAUGCGUAGCCGACCUGAGAGGGUGAUCGGCCACACUGGGACUGAGACACGGCCCAG
rnacentral:rRNA from 1 species